rnacentral:lncRNA from 1 species
AUGGACUGUUCAUUUCUACAGGAACUUUACAUGGCCACCAAGAAUCGACAGCAACUAGGGAAAGACACACAACAGCCUUCUUGUAGAGCAAGUUCCAUGAAAAAAUGGCAUUCCAGGUCUUGUCCUUGUGACCUCAGAUUUCAGCAUGAUGUGUUUUGCCAUCCCCCAGUCAUGUUUAUCCCCCUUCCGGCUCUUUCAAUCAGUCGCCCCCGGAUACUGAGAUCAGCUUUGGCUAUACCUGAUUGA